AAUGGGCGAAAGCCUGAUCCAGCCAUGCCGCGUGAGUGAAGAAGGCCUUCGGGUUGUAAAGCUCUUUCGGUCGAGAAGAAAUGUCUAUAACUAAUAUUUAUAGAAGAUGACGGUAUCGAUAUAAGAAGCACCGGCUAACUACGUGCCAGCAGCCGCGGUAAUACGUAGGGUGCAAGCGUUAAUCGGAAUUAUUGGGCGUAAAGGGUGCGCAGGCUGUGCUGUAAGUCAGAUGUGAAAUCCCCGGGCUUAACCUGGGAAUUGCGUUUGAAACUGCAGCGCUAGAGUGUGGUAGAGGAGAGUGGAAUUCCAUGUGUAGCAGUGAAAUGCGUAGAGAUGUGGAAGAACACCAAUGGCGAAGGCAGCUCUCUGGAUUAACACUGACGCUCAUGCACGAAAGCGUGGGGAGCAAA
rnacentral:rRNA from 1 species